UCGACAAGACCUCUGAAGGUGUGCUGUGGUAUCUGGCACCGAGAUGUUAACAGCAGGUCCUUUAAGUCCUGUAAAUUGCAAUGUGGGGGCUCCAUGGAUUGGACUUGUUUGUCCGGCACGUCCCACAGAUGCUCGAUUGGAUGGAGAUCUGGGGAAUUUGGAGGCCGACUCAACACCUUGAACUCUUUGUCAUGUUCCUCAAACCGUUCCUGAACAAUAUUUGCAGUGUCUCGGGGCCUCAGUGAAAGAGACCGCUGACAUUAGGGAAUACUGUUGCCAUGAAGGUGUGUACUCGGUCUGCAACAAUGUUUAGGUAGAUGGUACGUGUCAAUGUAACAUCCACAUGAAUGCCAGGACCUAAAGUUUCCCAGCAGAACAUUACAUAGAGCAUCACACUGCCUCCGCCGACUUGCCUUCUUCCCAUAGUGCAUCCUGGUUCCAUCUCUUCCCCAGGUGCUUUCGGAGGUGGACAGGAGUCAGCAUGGGCGCUCUGACCGGUCUGUGGCUACACAGCCCCAUACACAUCAAGCUGUGAUGCACGGUGUGUCCUGACACCUUUCUACCAGAACCGGCGUUAACUUUUUCAGCAAUUUGUGCUACAGUAGAUCUUCUGUGCGAUCGGACCAGACGGGCUAGUCUUCGCUCCCCAAUCCUUUGGGGCCAUGAUCCUGUCACCGGUUCACCGGUUGUCCUUCCUUGGACCACUUUUGAAGAGGUCCAGGUAGAACUCCCUUUGAGAACCCAAGACCAUCAAAAGAAUCGCUGAGGAACCCUAUUUUUCUAAGCAUGUACGUGCAUAUCGACUGAUCCCAAUGUAAAGCUGUUUGGAGAUCUUGGAGAUGGGAGACGUGAUCGAGAACUUGUAAACGCCUUGGUGGAAGAAUGGAGGAACAUCUCACAGCAAGAACUGACCAAUCUGGUGCAGGCCAUGAGGAUGAGAUGCCCUGUAGCACAAAGCAGCUGGAGGAAACCAGAUACUCACUGUUACUUUUAAUAUCGACCCCCCGCCCCCCCUCCCCUUUCUUCAGGGACAUAUUAUUCCAUUUGUGUUCCUCAAAUAUCUGUGAAACUUCUUCAGUUUCUGUCGCAGUUGUUAAAUGUUUUUAUGUUAAUACAAUUAGUAUUACUGUUAUAUUACUAUCAUAAUAUAAAUAUAUAUAAAUAUAAAUAUAUCUUAAUAUAUUAAGAAAUUUGCUGGAAAUAAAAGC
ensembl:lncRNA